UGUUGCGCUUGAAGUCUCCAUUGGUGUGUAGAGUUCUAGGUAUACAGUUGAAAAGACACUAUAGCCAGCCUGUCAGUUAUCAGUUUUGUGUGUUUUUCCGUGCAUAACUGGCAGCAUUGAUUUUUUUUGUUUCCUCUUUCUUCUAUCACCGUUUUGUAACUUUCGUAAACAUUUCAUUGAUCUGUGUCGUGGGUGUUCAGUGAAUUUUGGUCUUGGUCGGCCCCGUAGUUAAUAAAUUUUGCAAAUUUGCAAAUUUUGCGGUCUUUCCUCGCUUUUGUGACAGCCAUCAAGAAGCUGGACGUAUUCAUAAAAAGCAGCAAAAAUCUGAAUAAGGGAAACUACGCAAAGAUACUACCCGUUGCAAAGCUUAGCGGUUUUUUCUAGAUUGAGAUCACACUCUAUGACGCAAUUGGUACCGAUCUUGAGAACGGCGGUGCAUUCGAGUAUUCAUACCAUCAAGGAUGCUCGCCACAGGAAACCUUCCGUCUAUCUACGGGGAUAUUCCGCCGCCAAACUUCGAAUAUACACUCAGCAUACAGUACAUACUUCAUGUAUAUACUCCGGCGAACAUCGUUGCGGAAAUAUAUCAGGCGCCAAGCGCAACAGGUUGGUCUGCAUUCUAUUCGGUAUCACCCAGAAGGAUAUGAUGAAGUGCUACGACCUCCUGUCUAGUUUGGCCAAAGCGAAAUCAAUUCAAACUACACAAACAAUGGCAUUCGACAGCAUACAAUAAAUAUUUAUCGAUGUGAUGAUCUGCGCCGUCGACUGAGCAAUUUCGAACUGCGUACACCGUUAGUUUUUUAAUCAUGGCUGAAGGACUGUAAUCUCCGUUAGGUUGGAAUACAAUUUUUGUCUAGUUUUGAGAGAUUUUAAA